ensembl:lncRNA
GAGGAAGAAGGAAAGGAGGAGAGAGCGAUGGGAACGAGGAAACGCUUUCUCUCCUUAUGUUUAAUCCUGUGGAUCCUCACACCCCAAAAUCUAAAAUAAAGGAGAAAAAACUAAGAUAGGAGGUCAGACGAGGAGAAGGAGAGAGAGGGGGGCAAAGGAAGGAGAGAAGGAGAGAGGGGUAAAGGAAGGAGAGAAGGAGCCGAGGAGAAGGAGAGAGAGGUGUAAAGGAAGGAGAGAAGGAGCCGAGGAGAAGGAGAGAGGUGUAAAGGAAGGAGAGAAGGAGCCAAGGAGAAGGAGAGAGAGGGGGGUAAAGGAAGGAGAGAAGGAGAGAGAGGGGGGUAAAGGAAGGAGAGAAGGAGCCGAGGAGAAGGAGAGAGGGGUAAAGGAGGGAGAGAAGGAGCUGAGGAGAAGGAGAGAGAGGUGUAAAAGAAGGAGAGAAGGAGCCGAGGAGAAGGAGAGAGGUGUAAAGGAAGGAGAGAAGGAGCCGAGGAGAAGGAGAGAGGUUUUAAGGAAGGAGAGAAGGAGCCGAGGAGAAGAGAGAGAGAGGUGUAAAGGAAGGAGAGAAGGAGCCGAGGAGAAGGAGAGAAGGAGACAAGGACAGAGGAGGGACAGAGAGAAGCUUCUCUGUGAGAUGAAAGAGGCCACAUGUUCCUCCUCAAGUGUGUGUUUCUUUAUUUCUACUUUAAUGUGCGUAUUAAACAUUCACACAUGUAAAGCUUUUAUUUGUGUAAACAUCGGCGUCAACCACGACUUAAAUAAACUACUGACCUCAAAGGCAUCUUGUAAACACUGAGCCGCGUUACGUUUAGCUUCUGAAUGCUCAUUGGAGGAAUAAUUAUCGUUGUUUAAUAUUCGAC